GGCUGCCUCGGCCUGACCCUCGCGUGGGUUUGUGCUUCUCCCGGCGCCUUUAGGAGUCCAAGUUACUUUUGCUGUGCAGUCAGGGCAUUGACUGUUUUGGAUGAUUUCUCUCCGGAGUUUCUUUUUGAGUGGAAGUGUGCUCCUUCCCAGUAGAAGAUGGUGAUCCUAAUGUAUGAUCAUGGAGAAGGGGAUAAGUUCAGUAGAAGUAUUACCUUCCAAAUCAUCUCAGGUUACAGCUGUAAAAGUGGUGGUCAAAGAGCCCGAAGCAAAGCAAACCCAAAGAGGGAAACGAGUGGGAUUUGUGCUUGUCCAUGCAGGUGCAGGUUAUCAUUCCGAAUCCAAAGCUAAAGAGUACAAGCAUGUGUGCAAAAGAGCCUGCCAGAAGGUACGUGUCACCAGCUCCAC